ensembl:misc_RNA Y_RNA Y RNA
GGUUAGUCUGGAGGUAAUGAGUUAUUUCAACUAUUCACAGUCACUUACAGAUCAAACUCCUUGUUCUAUUCUUUACUCCCUUCUCACUCCUGCGCUUGACUAGUCUUUA